rnacentral:rRNA from 1 species
UUAGAGUUUGAAUCCUGGCUCAGAUUGAACGCUGGCGGCAGGCCUAACACAUGCAAGUCGAGCGGAUGAAGGGAGCUUGCUCCUGGAUUCAGCGGCGGACGGGUGAGUAAUGCCUAGGAAUCUGCCUGGUAGUGGGGGAUAACGUCCGGAAACGGGCGCUAAUACCGCAUACGUCCUGAGGGAGAAAGUGGGGGAUCUUCGGACCUCACGCUAUCAGAUGAGCCUAGGUCGGAUUAGCUAGUUGGUGGGGUAAAGGCCUACCAAGGCGACGAUCCGUAACUGGUCUGAGAGGAUGAUCAGUCACACUGGAACUGAGACACGGUCCAGACUCCUACGGGAGGCAGCAGUGGGGAAUAUUGGACAAUGGGCGAAAGCCUGAUCCAGCCAUGCCGCGUGUGUGAAGAAGGUCUUCGGAUUGUAAAGCACUUUAAGUUGGGAGGAAGGGCAGUAAGUUAAUACCUUGCUGUUUGACGUUCCCA